rnacentral:lncRNA from 1 species
GUUUGAAGAGAAGAAGUAAUAAAAAAUAAAGUCAUGAUUUUUUUCCCCCCUUUCAAAGCCUGUUUACAGAAACUUGUGUGCAUGUGGAUGUAUAUAUUCAAAUAUUUUGACUGUUCUUACCUGCAUGUUUCCUGCUUCUGGCUGAGGCCGAUCUCCCAGGGCUGCCUGCUUGGUGGGGCAGCAGGAAUCGGCACAAAUUGCCCCAAAAUCACGGUCUUGAGCCAUUCCCUGCCUGCUUCUGAGCUGGGAGAUGUGCUGGUACGUGCAGGCAGGGCAGCCACCUCCCCCGGUACUCAACUCCAGGUCUGAGCUCCUCUCCCCAUAAGAGGGCGAGGGAGGGGAUCCGUGCAAGGCACCGUGCUUGGAGCCCUCUCAGUUCAAAGGUGCCCAAGGAGAUGGAGCUGGCCUAGGGAUGGCUGGAGGCCACACAGACGGGAAGUCACCACAGGUGAAAUCCCUCCCAGCAGCUGGCUUAUGAAAUAAUGCGAGGGGAGGCCGUAAUGAGCUGAAAGCACCCUCAGCUGGAGAUAAAUAUAUGCAAAUGAGAUGCACAAACAAAGGAGCCUGGACAGAGAAAUAUCUGCAAUUCCAGCAAAAUGCUGCCUGCAGCUAGAAGAUGAACAGCUUUGAUAAAAUGGGCGUUGCUGGAAGCUCCCAUUUGAUGCUUUACCUAUAAAGCCUAAAUUGAGCGUCUGAGGGGUGGCGAUGCGUCUCCUGCUCCUAGUUCCACCAAAAACCAAAAUAGACUUUAAAUGGCAACGCUACGAACACCCGAGCGCGCUUCCGCACACGGCGAUCAUCAUCCUCCCCGAUUCCCCCUUAUGUUCCCAAACACGGAGCCAGCAUCGGGAUAAUGCAGCUUUACGUCCAAAGCUCAUUGGAAAUGUAAACUUUGAGCAAAUAGCAAUCGCUUGUGUAGCUGCACUGCUGAGGUGACUGGCAGCAAAUUCCUUUCUCUUCCUCCCUCCCUUCCACGCAGCGUUUUGAAAUACCCAUCAGUGUCAAAGGAAACUGCACAGAGCGCUGCUGCUGCUCUAAAUAAGGCAGAGCAAUGUUGAGAGAAACGUCAAAAAAAAAAAAAAAAAAAACCCUCAACGGAUUAAAGUGACAUUUCUGUACCGUGUCAAGGCAGAUGACAAAGCUUCGUGUUUUGCAUAAUUUCAAAAAAAGAUCCUUCAUAAAACAUCCAGCGUAUAAACAGACAGCGGGCUUUUGUUUUAAACAUUUAAGAUCAAAAGUUAUGGUAAGGACAAUUAAUAUUGCCUAUUAAAAU